UACGUAGGGGCCGAGCGUUGUCCGGAGUUAUUGGGCGUAAAGCGCGCGCAGGCGGCUUCGCGCGCCCCGACGUGAAAGCCCCCGGCUUAACCGGGGAGAGUCGUUGGGGACGGCGGAGCUUGAGGGCGGGAGAGGUCGGUGGAAUUCCCGGUGUAGUGGUGAAAUGCGUAGAGAUCGGGAGGAACACCUGUGGCGAAGGCGGCCGACUGGGCCGACCCUGACGCUGAGGAGCGAAAGCGUGGGGAGCGAACAGG
rnacentral:rRNA from 1 species